rnacentral:lncRNA from 1 species
AGAUGGAGCAGAGGUAACAAACUGAACCACAUGGCGGAGCUUGUCACCUUCACGGAAUUUCUACAAAAGUCACCAAUUUCCCCAGCAGAUUGGCGUUUGCUUUGUGUAUAGAGAUGCCUUCCGAUGGCACCUGGCUCCGUGCUCCUGGUGGGGACAUAACGUUGAGUCUACAGAAUCAUGUGAGGAGUUUUGGACUGCUCCCCUGGUUUUGUUACUCUCUGGGGUGGAAACAAAGUGUGAACUACAGCUGACAGAUUUCCAACAUUUAUGACACUCAGUGUUUAACCUCCAUGGUGUUCCCUGAUGUGGAAUGAGAGCCAUGUUCUGCUGAAAGGCUUGCCAUAGUAGAAACUAGAACAAUAUUGCAUCAGCUACUUGCUGUAACAAAACACUGUGACCAAGGGAACUCAUAAAAAGAAGAGUUUCUUUGGCUUAGAGUCCCAGAGGAUUGGAAUGCCUGACGGAGGAGCAAGGACACAGGAGCAGGAACAUGAAUCACAGAGCUCACAGUUUGAGCUGCAGGAAUGAAAAGAGACAACGAACUCAAAAUGACAUGUGACUUUUGGAACCUCAAAGUCUUUCCCCGGUGACAUCAUUCCUUCAGCAAGACCACACCUCCCAAACCUUCUCAAACAGCUCCUCCAACUGAAGACCAAGUGUUCAAACCGCUGAGCCUGUGGGGCACAUUCUCAGUCAAAGCAUCACAAGUAUCAUCUAGAUACAUCUAACGACAGAUGCUCAGGGCUUCUGGUGGGCCAUGGGGCUGGGAGGAGGGAGGUACUUGGGAAGACACAACCGGGUAGGAAAUGGUAUCUUUGCAUAGAGAAACCACUCACUUGUUAAGUCAAGCUAGGUGCACCCAUGUCGGAUGGGCAGUGCAAUCUGUAACCACAGGGCUUUCCUACCCAGCCUCUUUGUUCCCCGAAAUAAUGGCUCUGAGCCUUAAUAUUUCGUGAAUAAAUGCCAAAAGCUUUGGCUUGUUCCCCGA